rnacentral:rRNA from 1 species
GGCAAGUCCCCCUGACCGGGGCCUGUCCGAAGCGGGUGCGAGGCCCAUAGCCGCCGUCUCCGCGUCCGGAUGCGAUCUCCUUGGAGUCGGGUUGCUUGGGAGUGCAGCCCUAAUCGGGUGGUAAACUCCACCUAAGGCUAAAUACCGCCGUGAGACCGAUAGCAAACAAGUACCGUGAGGGAAAGUUGCAAAGAACUUUGAAGAGAGAGUUCAAGAGUACGUGAAACUGCUCARAGGUAAACGGGUGGGCCCUCGAAAUCCUGUGGCGAGAGGAUUCAGUCCGUCCGACGGGACGCGGUUNNNNNNNNACGAGCAGGGAGUCCGCCGAGCGCGGGCCGUCCUCCUCCGCGAUCUCGGAAGGCAGACGCAUUUGACUCUCGUCCCGAGGACGCUGCAGCCGGUCCGGAAGUUUUUUUUGCAAGCGCGACGGCCUGGAGGCCGGGAGACGGCAGGUGGCCGGUGGCCCGCCACGUCGCGGGUCGUCGGUUGUUAGCCAUCCCGGCAGUGGCUCGUCUCCGGACCGAGGUGUCGCGAGUCCCCGCAGGGGAUUCGCCGUCUCCGCCCACGGCGCCGCGGGGCAGAGCGCGGCCCGGGCCCCCUUCGUCGACCGUCGCACUAACACGGAGUGGGCGGGAGAGUCGGGGGACCGAACCGCCGCGCCGGACCCGCGGGGGACUGGAGGCUUGCAGCGAGUAGGUCGGUCACCCACCCGACCCGUYUUGAAACACGGACCAAGGAGUYUAACAUGUGCGSGAGUCAGUGGGUYUUGAACAGGCCCACGGGCGCAAUGAAAGCGAAAGGUCCGCCGAGCGCGGACCCGAGUGGGGAUCCCUCUCCCUCCGUGGGGGGGGCGCACCCMCGACCCGCCCCGUCCGGCUCGCCGGUGGGGCGGAGUCUGAGCGUACACGUUGGACCCGAAAG